GAUGAACGCUAGCGGCAGGCUUAACACAUGCAAGUCGAAGGGUAACAGGGGAAGAGCUUGCUCUUCCCGCUGACGACUGGCGCACGGGUGAGUAACACGUAUGCAACCUGCCCUCCACAGGGGGACAACCUUCCGAAAGGGAGGCUAAUCCCGCGUAAAUCAUCGGGAGGCAUCUCCGGGUGAGGAAAGACACGUCGGUGGAGGAUGGGCAUGCGGCGCAUUAGCUUGUCGGCGGGGUAACGGCCCACCGAGGCUACGAUGCGUAGGGGUUCUGAGAGGAAGGUCCCCCACAUUGGUACUGAGACACGGACCAAACUCCUACGGGAGGCAGCAGUGAGGAAUAUUGGUCAAUGGGCGGAAGCCUGAACCAGCCAAGUCGCGUGAGGGAAGACGGCCCUAAGGGUUGUAAACCUCUUUUGCCGGGGAGCAAAGCGCCGUGCGCGGUGCUAUGAGAGUACCCGGAGAAAAGCAUCGGCUAACUCCGUG
rnacentral:rRNA from 1 species